rnacentral:rRNA from 1 species
GAUGAACGCUGGCGGCGUGCCUAAUACAUGCAAGUCGAGCGAACAGAUCAGGCGCUUGCUCCUUUGACGUUAGCGGCGGACGGGUGAGUAACACGUGGGUCACCUACCUAUAAGACUGGGAUAACUUCGGGAAACCGGAGCUAAUACCGGAUAAUCUUUCGCACCGCAUGGUUCGAUAGUGAAAGAUGGCUUUGCUAUCACUUAUAGAUGGACCCGGGCCGUAUUAGCUGGUUGGUGAGGUAAUGGCUUACCAAGGCGACGAUACGUAGACGACCUGAGAGAGGGGUCGGCCGCCCUAGAACGUGGACACGGUCAAGACUACUACGGGAGGCAGCAGUAGGGAAUCGGCCGCAAUAGUCGGGAACCUUGCGGAGCAACCCGGAGUGAGAGAUGACGGUCUUCGGAGCGGAAUGCUCUGUUAUUAGGGAUAAACAUCUUUGGCAGUAACUGUGCACGUCGUGACGGUAACUAAUCAGAAAGCCACGGCUAACUACGUG